rnacentral:rRNA from 1 species
AGUCGAGAAUCUUCGGCAAUGGGCGAAAGCCUGACCGAGCGACGCCGCGUGCGGGAUGAAGGCCCUCGGGUUGUAAACCGCUGUCGUAGGGGAGGAAGGCUCCGUGAAGAACGGGGUUUGACCUAUCCUAGGAGGAAGUACGGGCUAAGUUCGUGCCAGCAGCCGCGGUAAUACGAACCGUACAAACGUUAUUCGGAAUCACUGGGCUUAAAGGGUGCGUAGGCGGCCAUGUAAGUGAGGUGUGAAAUCCCUCGGCUCAACCGAGGAACUGCGCUUCAUACUGCAUGGCUUGAGGGAGACAGGGGUAAGCGGAACUGAUGGUGGAGCGGUGAAAUGCGUUGAUAUCAUCAGGAACACCGGUGGCGAAAGCGGCUUACUGGGUCUCUUCUGACGCUGAGGUACGAAAGCUAGGGUAGCGAA